rnacentral:rRNA from 1 species
GAGUUUGAUCCUGGCUCAGAUUGAACGCUGGCGGAAUGCUUUACACAUGCAAGUCGAACGGCAGCACGGGUGCUUGCACCUGGUGGCGAGUGGCGAACGGGUGAGUAAUACAUAGGAACAUACCCAGUAAUGGGGGAUAACGCCGAGAAAUCGGUGCUAAUACCGCAUACGCCCUGAGGGGGAAAGCAGGGGAUCGUAAGACCUUGCGUUAUUCGAGCGGCCGACGUCUGAUUAGCUAGUUGGUGGGGUAAAGGCCUACCAAGGCGACGAUCAGUAGCGGGUCUGAGAGGAUGAUCCGCCACACUGGAACUGAGACACGGUCCAGACUCCUACGGGAGGCAGCAGUGGGGAAUUUUGGACAAUGGGGGCAACCCUGAUCCGGCCAUUCCGCGUGAGUGAAGAAGGCCUUCGGGUUGUAAAGCUCUUUCAGCUGGAACGAAACGGUACGCUCUAACAUAGCGUGCUAAUGACGGUACCAGCAGAAGAAGCACCGGCUAACUACGUGCCAGCAGCCGCGGUAAUACGUAGGGUGCGAGCGUUAAUCGGAAUUACUGGGCGUAAAGCGUGCGCAGGCGGAUUGUUAAGCAAGACGUGAAAUCCCCGGGCUUAACCUGGGAAUGGCGUUUUGAACUGGCAGUCU